UACAGAGGUCUCAAGCGUUGUUCGGAUUUACUGGGCGUAAAGGGUGCGUAGGCGGUGGGGUAAGUUUGAGGUGAAAGCUCCGGGCUCAACCCGGAAAAUGCCUUGAAAACUAUCCGGCUAGAGGGUUGGAGGGGAGACUGGAAUUCUCGGUGUAGCAGUGAAAUGCGUAGAUCUCGAGAGGAACACCAGUGGCGAAGGCGGGUCUCUGGACAACACCUGACGCUGAGGCACGAAAGCCAGGGGAGCAAACGGG
rnacentral:rRNA from 1 species